rfam:Triticum aestivum genome assembly, contig: Triticum_aestivum_CS42_TGACv1_scaffold_146637_2BS
CUACUACUCCCUCCGUCCGAAAAUACUUGUCAUUGAAAUGGAUGUAUCUAGAUGUAUUUUAGUUCUAGACACAUCCAUUUUGAUGACAAGUAAUUCCGAACGGAGGGAGUAUUAU